AUACGGAGGAUCCAAGCGUUAUCCGGAUUUAUUGGGUUUAAAGGGUGCGCAGGCGGAAGAUUAAGUCGGCGGUGAAAUUUUGCAGCUCAACUGUAAAAGUGCCAUCGAUACUGGUUUUCUUGAGUGUGGAUGAAGUAGGCGGAAUUUGUGGUGUAGCGGUGAAAUGCAUAGAUAUCACGAGGAACUCCGAUUGCGCAGGCAGCUUACUAGGCCAUAACUGACGCUCAGGCACGAAGGCGUGGGGAUCAAACAGGAUUAGAUACCCUGGUAGUCCACGCAGUAAACGAUGAUUACUCGCUGUUUGCGAUACACAGUAAGCGGCUUAGCGAAAGCGUUAAGUAAUCCACCUGGGGAGUACGUUCGCAAGAAUGAAACUCAAAGGAAUUGACGGGG
rnacentral:rRNA from 1 species